rnacentral:ncRNA from 2 species
AGGCGCCGGCGCGUGACGGGUUCCCGGCGACGGGAUCAAAAGGGAAGUCGGUGAGCGGGGAUACCCCCGCGGUUCCGGCGCUGUUCCCGCAACUGUGACCGGCGAGCAGCCACCCCAUGAUGCCACUGGACGAUCGUCCGGGAAGGCGGGGCGGUUCGCGAUGACCCGGAAGCCAGGAGACCUGCCCGUCACGGUCGAUCCUU